rnacentral:rRNA from 1 species
UACGGGGGGGGCAAGCGUUGUUCGGAAUUACUGGGCGUAAAGGGCUCGUAGGUGGCCAACUAAGUCAGACGUGAAAUCCCUCAGCUUAACUGGGGAACUGCGUCUGAUACUGGAUGGCUUGAGAUUGGGAGAGGGAUGCGGAAUUCCAGGUGUAGCGGUGAAAUGCGUAGAUAUCGGGAGGAACACCAGUGGCGAAGGCGAUCACCUGGGGUUGUUCUGACGCUGAUGAGCGAAAGCUAGGGGAGCAAACGGG